CUUGUACUGACGAGUCCUAAAUAGGACGAAAUGCGCAUCCAAUUACAGG
rnacentral:hammerhead_ribozyme from 1 species